rnacentral:rRNA from 1 species
GUGGGGAAUUUUGGACAAUGGGCGCAAGCCUGAUCCAGCCAUGCCGCGUGCGGGAAGAAGGCCUUCGGGUUGUAAACCGCUUUUGUCAGGGAAGAAACGGUCUGAACUAAUACUUUGGACUAAUGACGGUACCUGAAGAAUAAGCACCGGCUAACUACGUGCCAGCAGCCGCGGUAAUACGUAGGGUGCAAGCGUUAAUCGGAAUUACUGGGCGUAAAGCGUGCGCAGGCGGCUUUGCAAGACAGAUGUGAAAUCCCCGGGCUCAACCUGGGAACUGCAUUUGUGACUGCAUGGCUAGAGUACGGUAGAGGGGGAUGGAAUUCCGCGUGUAGCAGUGAAAUGCGUAGAUAUGCGGAGGAACACCGAUGGCGAAGGCAAUCCCCUGGACCUGUACUGACGCUCAUGCACGAAAGCGUGGGGAGCAAACAGGAUUAGAUACCCCGGUAGUCC